rnacentral:tRNA from 1 species
CAAAUUAGAUUAGUUAAAAAUUCAUUUACAUUGAAUUAUUAAAUGUGCAAUUCAUUUUAGUUUG